rnacentral:rRNA from 1 species
GGGGGAUAUUGCGCAAUGGGGGCAACCCUGACGCAGCAACGCCGCGUGAAGGAUGAAGGUUUUCGGAUUGUAAACUUCUUUUAUUAAGGACGAAACUUGACGGUACUUAAUGAAUAAGCUCCGGCUAACUACGUGCCAGCAGCCGCGGUAAUACGUAGGGAGCAAGCGUUGUCCGGAUUUACUGGGUGUAAAGGGUGCGUAGGCGGCUUUGCAAGUCAGAUGUGAAAUCUAUGGGCUCAACCCAUAAACUGCAUUUGAAACUGUAGAGCUUGGGUGAAGUAGAGGCAGGCGGAAUUCCCCGUGUAGCGGUGAAAUGCGUAGAGAUGGGGAGGAACACCAGUGGCGAAGGCGGCCUGCUGGGCUUUAACUGACGCUGAGGCACGAAAGCGUGGGUAGCAAAC